rnacentral:rRNA from 1 species
UACGUAGGUGGCAAGCGUUUGUCCGGAUUUACUGGGCGUAAAGAGCGCGCAGGCGGUCGUUCAAGUCGCGUGUGAAAGCCCCCCGGCUCAACUGGGGAGGGUCACGCGAUACUGAUCGACUCGAAGGCAGGAGAGGGUAGUGGAAUUCCCGGUGUAGUGGUGAAAUGCGUAGAUAUCGGGAGGAACACCAGUGGCGAAGGCGACUACCUGGCCUGUUCUUGACGCUGAGGCGCGAAAGCUAGGGGAGCAAACGGGG